UGGGGAAUCUUGCGCAAUGGGCGAAAGCCUGACGCAGCAACGCCGCGUGGGGGAAGAAGGCCUUCGGGUUGUAAACCCCUUUCAGUUGGGACGAAGCUUCGAGGGUUAAUAGCUCUCUGGAGUGACGGUACCUUCAGAAGAAGCCCCGGCUAACUACGUGCCAGCAGCCGCGGUAAUACGUAGGGGGCUAGCGUUGUCCGGAAUCAUUGGGCGUAAAGCGCGUGUAGGCGGUCCGGUAAGUCCGCUGUGAAAGUCGGGGGCUCAACCCUCGGAUGCCGGUGGAUACUGUCGGGCUUGAGUACGGAAGAGGCGAGUGGAAUUCCUGGUGUAGCGGUGAAAUGCGCAGAUAUCAGGAGGAACACCAAUUGCGAAGGCAGCUCGCUGGGACGUUACUGACGCUGAGACGCGAAAGCGUGGGGAGCAAACAG
rnacentral:rRNA from 1 species